ACGCUGGCGGCGUGCCUAAUACAUGCAAGUAGAACGCUGAAGGAGGAGCUUGCUUCUCCGGAUGAGUUGCGAACGGGUGAGUAACGCGUAGGUAACCUGCCUGGUAGCGGGGGAUAACUAUUGGAAACGAUAGCUAAUACCGCAUAAGAGUAGAUGUUGCAUGACAUUUGCUUAAAAGGUGCAAUUGCAUCACUACCAGAUGGACCUGCGUUGUAUUAGCUAGUUGGUGGGGUAACGGCUCACCAAGGCGACGAUACAUAGCCGACCUGAGAGGGUGAUCGGCCACACUGGGACUGAGACACGGCCCAGACUCCUACGGGAGGCAGCAGUAGGGAAUCUUCGGCAAUGGGGGCAACCCUGACCGAGCAACGCCGCGUGAGUGAAGAAGGUUUUCGGAUCGUAAAGCUCUGUUGUAAGUCAAGAACGAGUGUGAGAGUGGAAAGUUCACACUGUGACGGUAGCUUACCAGAAAGGGACGGCUAACUACGUGCCAGCAGCCGCGGUAAUACGUAGGUCCCGAGCGUUGUCCGGAUUUAUUGGGCGUAAAGCGAGCGCAGGCGGUUUGAUAAGUCUGAAGUUAAAGGCUGUGGCUCAACCAUAGUUCGCUUUGGAAACUGUCAAACUUGAGUGCAGAAGGGGAGAGUGGAAUUCCAUGUGUAGCGGUGAAAUGCGUAGAUAUAUGGAGGAACACCGGUGGCGAAAGCGGCUCUCUGGUCUGUAACUGACGCUGAGGCUCGAAAGCGUGGGGAGCGAACAGGAUUAGAUACCCUGGUAGUCCACGCCGUAAACGAUGAGUGCUAGGUGUUGGAUCCUUUCCGGGAUUCAGUGCCGCAGCUAACGCAUUAAGCACUCCGCCUGGGGAGUACGACCGCAAGGUUGAAACUCAAAGGAAUUGACGGGGGCCCGCA
rnacentral:rRNA from 1 species